rnacentral:rRNA from 1 species
ACGAACGCUUGCGGCGUGCUUAACACAUGCAAGUCGAACGAAGAGCGCCGGAAGCUUGCUUCUAUCAAUCUUAGUGGCGAACGGGUGAGUAACGCGUAAUCAACCUGCCCUUCAGAGGGGGACAACAGUUGGAAACGACUGCUAAUACCGCAUACGAUCUAAUCUCGGCAUCGAGGAUGGAUGAAAGGUGGCCUCUACAUGUAAGCUAUCACUGAAGGAGGGGAUUGCGUCUGAUUAGCUAGUUGGAGGGGUAACGGCCCACCAAGGCGAUGAUCAGUAGCCGGUCUGAGAGGAUGAACGGCCACAUUGGGACUGAGACACGGCCCAGACUCCUACGGGAGGCAGCAGGGGGGAAUCUUCCGCAAUGGACGAAAGUCUGACGGAGCAACGCCGCGGGAGUGAUGACGGCCUUCGGGUUGUAAAGCUCUGUUAAUCGGGACGAAAGGCCUUCUUGCGAAUAGUGAGAAGGAUUGACGGUACCGGAAGAGAAAGCCACGGCUAACUACGUG